rnacentral:rRNA from 1 species
GACAAGAAAUAACAAUACCAAUUGGAGGGCAAGUCUGGUGCCAGCAGCCGCGGUAAUUCCAGCUCCAAUAGCGUAUAUUAAACUUGUUGCAGUUAAAAAGCUCGUAGUUGAAUUUGAGCUUGCGCGAUUCCGUUAUUGGAGUAUUGCGCUUGCUUUUUUGUUACUUUGAGAAAAUUAGAGUGUUUCAAGCAGACUUUUGUCUUGAAUACUUCAGCAUGGAAUAAUAGAGUAGGACCUUGGUUCUAUUUUGUUGGUUUUUGAGCCUUGGUAAUGGUUAAUAGGAACGGUUGGGGGCAUUCGUAUUUAACUGUCAGAGGUGAAAUUCU